rnacentral:rRNA from 1 species
AACGAACGCUGGCGGCAUGCCUAACACAUGCAAGUCGAACGAGACCUUCGGGUCUAGUGGCGCACGGGUGCGUAACGCGUGGGAACCUGCCCGUAGGUUCGGAAUAACUCCCCGAAAGGGGUGCUAAUACCGGUUAAUGUCUUCGGACCAACGAUUUAUCGCCUUUGGAUGGGCCCUCGUUGGUUUAGCCAGUUGGUAGGGUAAAAGCAUACCAUGGCGACGAUCCAUAGCUGGUCUGAGAGGAUGAUCCGCCAGGCUGGGACUGCGACACGGCCUAGACUCCUACGGGAGGGAGCAGUGGGGAAUAUUGGGCAAUGGGCGAAAGCCUGAUACAGCAAUGCCGGGUGAGUGAUGAAGGCCUUAGGGUUGUAAAGCUCUUUUACCCGGGAUGAUAAUGACAGUACCGGGUGAAUAAGCUCCGGCUAACUCCGUG